CAAUAGCGUAUAUUAAAGUUGUUGCGGUAAAAAAGCUCGUAGUUGGAUUUCUACCGAAGAUAGCCGGUCGGGUCUUCGACCUUGUAUCUGGUUUUGUCUUUGGUAUCCUCAUAGGGAACGUUUCUGCGCUUUAUUGCGUGGUGCGGUAUCUAUGACUUUUACUUUGAGGAAAUUAGAGUGUUCACGGCAGGCAAACGCCUUGAAUAUAUUAGCGUGGAAUAAUAACAUAGGAUCUUCGUCCUAUUUUGUUGGUUUCUAGGGCUAAGAUAAUGAUUAAUAGGGAUAAUUGGGGGCAUCUGUAUCAACGCGUCAGAGGUGGAAUUCUUGGAUUGCGUUGCGACAAACUACUGCGAAAGCAUUUGCCAAGGAUGUUUUCAUUGA
rnacentral:rRNA from 1 species